GAUGAAGAACGCAGCGAAAUGCGAUAAGUAAUGUGAAUUGCAGAAUUCAGUGAAUCAUCGAAUCUUUGAACGCACAUUGCGCCCCCUGGUAUUCCGGGGGGCAUGCCUGUUCGAGCGUCAUUUCACCACUCAAGCCUCGCUUGGUAUUGGGCAACGCGGUCCGCCGCGUGCCUCAAAUCGUCCGGCUGGGUCUUCUGUCCCCUAAGCGUUGUGGAAACUAUUCGCUAAAGGGUGUUCGGGAGGCUACGCCGUAAAACAACCCCAUUUCUAAGGUUGACCUCGGAUCAGGUAGGGUUACCCGCUGAACUUAAGCAUAUCAAUAAGCGGAGGA
rnacentral:misc_RNA from 1 species